rnacentral:rRNA from 1 species
CCAGCCGCCGCGGUAACACCGGCAGCUCUAGUGGUAACAAUUUUAUUGGGCCUAAAGCGUCCGUAGCCGGUUUAAUAAGUCUCUGGUGAAAUCCUGCAGCUUAACUGUGGGAAUUGCUGGAGAUACUAUUAGACUUGAGACCGGGAGAGGUUAGAGGUACUCCCAGGGUAGAGGUGAAAUUCUGUAAUCCUGGGAGGACCGCCUGUUGCGAAGGCGUCUAACUGGAACGGUUCUGACGGUGAGGGACGAAAGUUAGGGGCGCGAACCGGAUUAGAUACCCGGGUAGUCCUAACUGUAAACGAUGCGGACUUGGUGUUGGGGUGGCUUUGAGCUGCUUCAGUGCCGAAGGGAAGCUGUUAAGUCCGCCGCCUGGGAAGUACGGUCGCAAGACUGAAACUUAAGGAAUUGGCGGGGGAGCACCACAACGCGUGGAGCCUGCCGGUUUAAUUGGAUUCAACGCCGGACAUCUCACCAGAGGCGACAGCUGUAUGAUAGCCAGGUUGAUGACUUUGCUUGACUAGCUGAGAAGAGGUGCAUGG